rnacentral:lncRNA from 1 species
UGGGGUCUUAUAUAAGGCCUAACUUUUCACAGAUUUCCUCAUGAUCCAAAUGUGAGAAAAAAUUGGAUUAAAAAAAUUAUAAAUAUCCAUCGAAUUUAAAAAAGUCGCUGUCAAUUUGCUCACUUCAUUUUCAUUCAAAUUGUUUCAUCACCGAGAGUUGUGAUUCGUUGACUCGGAGGAAGAAGAAAAGGGAGUCUCAAGUUCUUUAACGGCGGAGAUUGAAAAAGGGUCAAUUCCAAAUGCACCUUUCUACCUCAGCCAACCUCUUCCUACAACUCGAGGAAUAAAUCGUCUCUUUCAAAAUAGAAAUGAAACUUUUCAACUUAGGCAUGAACUUCAGGUGGAGAGUUAUUUUAAUGAUGUCAAAUGUGACUCCCUUUUUGACCUUAAAAAGAAAUUAGAUGAUACAGAACUUGUCGAUGGAUUUAACGUUCUGAUGAGAAAAUGCUCAGAAGAAAUCAUCAUAUUCAAGAUAUCCAACAAUAUUGGUAAAGGCCCACAAAUCUUGAGUUGCUUACUUAUUAAGAAAGACUUGUAAUGUAAAGCUUUUUAUAAUGGUGUAAAGAUACUCUCUCUUGAAGUGUUGUAUCAGCAGCCCUAAUUUUACGAAAGUAAAUUCCAUUCAUGAUGUCAGGUAGUUAAUUAUUUUCCUCAAAAGAAAAGAGUAAACUUUGCAUGCGAGCAAAUCCUUUACGCUUUAUCUAUAUAAAAAAAAAACAGUACACAUCAAGGACAUUAUCUAUUGCAACUUCCUUAAAACCAAAAUUGUGUAUAGAUUUCUUCGAAAGGAAAAUUUGUUGACGUUACCCCAUCCUAAUCACAUCAGUAAAAUAACAAAAACAAUGAAUAUGUCUACAGGUUUCACAGAAGUUACAAAAGCUUACCUAUCCUAAAGAAUUGACUCUCUAUCUAGUAGAGAAAAGAUUUGUAUGCUCAUAACGGAUGAAGUUUAUACUGCAAAGCAAGUACGAUUUCACGAUGGGAAGCUGAGUGGCCAUGGAAAUGAUAAAGUAACUAAAAUGCUUUCUAGUGUUGGUGGAUCAUUUGAGGAUAUAAUUCAAAUAAAAUCAUCUCAUAUGCAGUCAUUCAGAUAUUACCAAAAAUUUGAACUUUUUAACUAAAGAAGUCGCCAAAUUGGGAUUUAAAGUAAUAGGUUCUGGAGCAGACAAUCACGUUUCGAAUAGACGGGCUAUUAAGCAAGUCUUGUACCAAGGAGAGUUCAAACGGUACAUUUCAAAUCCAGUUGAUCCAGAAAAACCAUUUUUCCCUAUGUUUGAUGGAUCUCAUAUUCAUAAAUGUAUAAGAAACAAUUGAAAAAAAGAAACAAUUUUUGAAUGUCCAAAUUUCGAUGGCGAACAAAUUGGAUUCAUGUUUUGAAACUGUAUCGGAUAGAUUCUGUAAAUAAUCCGAGGAUGGCACAUCGUUUGAAUUAAAAAGCUCUCAAUCCAACAUUAAAUGAAAAAAACAAAUGUGAAACUUGUGACAUCAUAUUCCAUGACAUUACGAUAAGUGGCAUGCAGUAUUAUUAUGAAAAAGGGUAUCAUGAAUUUAAAUCUACUCUUAAUUUCUAAAAAAUCAUAAGGAAGUGGUGGAAUAUUAUAAAUGUUAGGAGCUCCAGAUCUGGAAAACGCCACAAAGACUAGACUCGAGAGCCACUUACAUCAACAGACUGUGAACUGCUCAAAUUUCUCAGAAAAUUUGUAUCAUGGAUUCAAUUCUGGUUUGAAGAGUCAAAGAAAAAAAAAAAUUAAAAAUUCUUUGACUAAAGAAACAUUUGAGGCAAUCUAUCAAACUACCUCAUCGUUGGAUACUGCUGCUGAUACUUACUAGAGAAAAGGGGGUUUGAAUUUGUUUUGUCCGGGAAAUUCCUGAGUGAUUGCAUUGAGUAGAGAUUUGCCCAAUAUAGAAGCAUGAGUGGCUGUAAUUACUAUUUACAAUCCGACAGUUACUUCAAUCAGAAAAAGCCAUCAGACUUAGGACCAUUAUGAAGUACACUUCGUUGUCGAUUCGAGACCUUAAAAAGAACAUUGGAAGAGGCUAUAAAGAUAGAUGAGUCAAAAUGUAUGGAAGAUAUUGCUGUUUUUCUUGAAUAUUUGGAUGACAUGGUUAUUCCUGUUACAAUCGAAGACGAAUCUAAAAAGAAUAUUUUAUUCUUUAUUGCUGGAUUCAUUUGUUAUUCGCUUUCUAAAACAAUUAAGUGUCAGGACUGCAAAAUUUACUAUCUUGUGAAGUCAAAGAAUCAGAUUUAUUCGGUUUUGUUGAUAGAAAUUCUCAGUCGGAAUAUUUGAACAUUUGCAAUCGAGGUGGACUGAAAUCUCCUUCAUAUUCUCUAUAAAUAAUUGUAAUAUUUAUUAAUAUUUUUAUCAUACUGUUAUGAGCCACCAAAUCCUUUACAAUAUCUUAAUCAAUUCUGAGAAUCUACAAUCUUUGUUAGCAUCUGCAGUGGCGGCGCAGAUGGAAAAUGAAGAAAUCACUGAUGCAAUUUUACUACAAGAAUGUAAUUUUGGUCAUAAUGUCUUCAAGGAUAAAGCUACUGUCAUCUCAGCAAAAAUAUUUUCAUGCAUAAUUUUGUUCAAACACAAGUUAGACUUUAAAAAAAGAGAACGGUGAAAGAUAAUUCAUCUUUAAAUAAUCAGCGAAAAAUAGCCAAACUGCUUUUAUAAAUUCGAUGUAUAUUUUAAAUUUAAUAUGUAUUAAUAAAAAUUUGAUGAUAGAAAAA